rnacentral:rRNA from 3 species
AGACCCGAAACCCGGUGAUCUAGCCAUGGGCAGGUUGAAGGUUGGGUAACACUAACUGGAGGACCGAACCGACUAAUGUUGAAAAAUUAGCGGAUGACCUGUGGCUGGGGGUGAAAGGCCAAUCAAACCGGGAGAUAGCUGGUUCUCCCCGAAAGCUAUUUAGGUAGCGCCUCGUGAAUUCAUCUCCGGGGGUAGAGCACUGUUUCGGCUAGGGGGCCAUCCCGGCUUACCAACCCGAUGCAAACUGCGAAUACCGGAGAAUGUUAUCACGGGAGACACACGGCGGGUGCUAACGUCCGUCGUGAAGAGGGAAACAACCCAGACCGCCAGCUAAGGUCCCAAAGUCAUGGUUAAGUGGGAAACGAUGUGGGAAGGCCCAGACAGCCAGGAUGUUGGCUUAGAAGCAGCCAUCAUUUAAAGAAAGCGUAAUAGCUCACUGGUCGAGUCGGCCUGCGCGGAAGAUGUAACGGGGCUAAACCAUGCACCGAAGCUGCGGCAGCGAACGUAUCACCCAAGACAACUUUACGGAGUUGACGAUUGACGGAGCGAAGCGACGUCAAAGCGUUCAUUAAAGUCGAGUUGGCUUAGGGAUACGUUCGUUGGGUAGGGGAGCGUUCUGUAAGCCUGUGAAGGUGUGUCGUGAGGCAUGCUGGAGGUAUCAGAAGUGCGAAUGCUGACAUAAGUAACGAUAAAGCGGGUGAAAAGCCCGCUCGCCGGAAGACCAAGGGUUCCUGUCCAACGUUAAUCGGGGCAGGGUGAGUCGACCCCUAAGGCGAGGCCGAAAGGCGUAGUCGAUGGGAAACGGGUUAAUAUUCCCGUACUUGGUGUUACUGCGAAGGGGGGACGGAGAAGGCUAUGUUGGCCGGGCGACGGUUGUCCCGGUUUAAGCGUGUAGGUGUGUGUUCCAGGUAAAUCCGGUUCACUUUAACACUGAGGCGUGAUGACGAGGCACUACGGUGCUGAAGCA